rnacentral:rRNA from 1 species
UAGGGAAUAUUGCACAAUGGGCGCAAGCCUGAUGCAGCCAUGCCGCGUGUGUGAAGAAGGCCUUCGGGUUGUAAAGCACUUUCAGCGAGGAGGAAGGCAGUCGUGUUAAUAGCACGGUUGAUUGACGUUACUCGCAGAAGAAGCACCGGCUAACUCCGUGCCAGCAGCCGCGGUAAUACGGAGGGUGCAAGCGUUAAUCGGAAUUACUGGGCGUAAAGCGCACGCAGGCGGUUUGUUAAGUCAGAUGUGAAAUCCCCGCGCUUAACGUGGGAACUGCAUUUGAAACUGGCAAGCUAGAGUCUUGUAGAGGGGGGUAGAAUU